UAGAUACCCUGGUAGUCCGCACGGUAAACGAUGAAUACUCGCAGUUCGGCCUUUUAGGUCGAGUUGUCCAGCGAAAGCGUUAAGUAUUCCACCUGGGGAGUACGCCGGCAACGGUGAAACUCAAAGGAAUUGACGGGGGCCCGCACAAGCGGAGGAACAUGUGGUUUAAUUCGAUGAUACGCGAGGAACCUUACCCGGGCUUGAACCAAGAGUGACGAGUGCAGAGAUGCGCUUUUUCUUCGGACACUUU
rnacentral:rRNA from 1 species